rnacentral:lncRNA from 1 species
CUCAGAAUAAGGUCACAGACUGGGGGAACACCCAGGCAUUAUGCCAAAGAAAGGACAGGAGGUGUGACCGGCCACAGGGUGGGGAAGGCUGGGUUAUAUGUCCCUUUUGGACAGCAGAGUGGGCCACAGGCCACAGGUGGGAGAUGUCAAUGAGCUGAGUCAGAGAACCACGCUUGUUUGGGCAGGGGCAGGGAGUGUGUCUCUUCUGUUCUCCAAGAAGCAGACAUGGAGAUGGAAUGAGACAGGCAAGAGGCUAGAGGGGACAUGCCUGUGGAGGAUGAGCGGAAGGAAGGAGGAGCAGGUUCCAGCAAGGAAAGCCUUAGAUUGGGGUCUGGGGCUGGCACCAUGAAAGGAGAGGGGGCAGGAGGGAGGACAGGAAGGGAGAGCCUCAGAUGGCAGGGCAGUGUGUAGAGAGCUUGGCCACGUUGGGUGGAUAGCCCCAGCGCUUAGACUGUCCAUGGGGAGGCCAGGUUGGACAGAAACAGCCGGCUCCAGGACCUGUUGAGCUGGGUCCUCAGCCUCUGCAUGAAGCUGCACUGGAUCCUUGAAGCACGGGAGCUAGCGGCUGCCAGCCAACCACUUUCCUGCCAGCAGGCUGUCUCCGGAAGAGAGCAGAAGCUGCCACUUGGAGCCAUCCCUCACUAUGUGGACCUUGGGAGUCCCUGUCCCUCCCCAUACCAAGGAGCCACCUGGAGGGGCCGUUGGGAAUCAGCCCAGGAGGGAAACGCCUGGCUGUCUGGCUUUGGAGGGCGGUUCUCAUCUGAGAUGGGGGCAAGUGCAUCUACAGAACCAGCCAGGCAGAGCGUCCACCUUGCAUCCCAGAUCCCUGAGGAAGCUCACGUGACUCCAGCUGUCGCCACCCCCUGGGCACCUGUGCACUCUGCCUAUGGAGCCCAACCUGCAAUUGACCCAACCCUCUGGCCUGUCAUGGGAGCCCGCUGUGCUGUCCACCCCUGCACGGGGUACCCAGCCCCUUGGAGUUACCCGUGGGUGCCCGUUGGCAGUCCUCUCUUGCAUCCCAGAUCCCUGAGGAAGCUCACGUGACUCCAGCUGUCGCCACCCCCUGGGCACCUGUGCACUCUGCCUAUGGAGCCCAACCUGCAAUUGACCCAACCCUCUGGCCUGUCAUGGGAGCCCGCUGUGCUGUCCACCCCUGCACGGGGUACCCAGCCCCUUGGAGUUACCCGUGGGUGCCCGUUGGCAGUCCUCUCUUCUGNCUCUGGCUACUCUCCCCAGGUGGGAUGGCAGGCUCCUGCCAGCUCAGCCUUCCCAGCUGCCAUGUGGAGACCAUCCAGAGGAGCUCCUCACUUGAAGAGGUGCCAAGCCCCUCCCUCAGAAUGGGCUUCCAGGUUCAGCAUUUGGGCCCCUGCACCACCCUCCAGCCCAGAACUCUGCUCCCUGCCCCCUUCCCCCAGUACAGACUGUCCACCUGAGCCCUGCUGUCCCCACUGCCCUCGGCCACCCUGCAGGGCCUGCCGCCGCCUCUUCUAGCCCCGAGGUGUUGUUGGGCGCCUCCCACUCCAACACUUAGGGAGCCGUGGGAUCCAGUGAGUGCAAUGUUUAUUUUAAUGUAACAUCUGCCCUACUGUAAUGCAUAGAGGUAAAGCAUGCAUUCAUAUAAAUUAUUUAAUGGUGACUGUGUUUUUGAAAUGGAA